rnacentral:rRNA from 1 species
GACGAACGCUGGCGGCGUGCCUAACACAUGCAAGUCGAACGGGACUUAAUGGAAGCGGCUUCGGCCAAUGGAAGUUAAGUUUAGUGGCGGACGGGUGAGUAACGCGUGAGGAACCUGCCUUUCAGAGGGGGACAACAGUUGGAAACGACUGCUAAUACCGCAUAAGCGCACGGUACCGCAUGGUACAGUGUGAAAAACUCCGGUGGUGUGAGAUGGACCCGNGUCUGAUUAGCUAGUUGGUAAGGUAACGGCUUACCAAGGCGACGAUCAGUAGCCGACCUGAGAGGGUGAUCGGCCACAUUGGGACUGAGACACGGCCCAAACUCCUACGGGAGGCAGCAGUGGGGAAUAUUGGGCAAUGGGGGAAACCCUGACCCAGCAACGCCGCGUG